rnacentral:antisense_RNA from 1 species
CGCGGGGGCGCCCCCCUCGGCCGGGCGCUCGGGUUUCAGCCGCCGCUCCCCCGCGCCCCGCCCGCGCCUGGCCCGCUCGCCGGCGCCGGGAGAGACCUCGUAACGGAACUGGGACGCCAGCGCUGCAUUGUGGGAGCUUUUAAAGCGGCGGGGAGCUCGGCGCGACCCUCGGGCCCACCGGGCCACGCUCGCCCGGCCCGCGACGCCCCCCCGCUGUCGCCUGGCCCGCGACGCACCGAGGCCUGAGGACCCGAAAGCCGGGCGCGGGGAGAUGACCGGUGGCUCGUGACGGUCCCACGGGCAAAAUCUUCCAUCGCCCGGGGCUGAGACUUGUCAAACUGCCCUCUACGGUCACCCGGAAAGUAGGAGGCUUUUUCUGCAGAGGGAAAAAAAUCAAAAAGAGCCGUUCCAUCCCCCCUCCAAGGACUGGGUUUGAAUUGCUUUUCAUCUGCAGUGGCUGUGAUUCAGCGUCCCUCUUAGCAGCAGGCACUGACAGAGGCAGGAGAGGAAAAAAGAAAGAAAGAAAGAGAAAACACAGCAAAUGAAUCAAACGGACGUAGCAGGCAAGAGUGUGGUUAUCGUUGGACCAGGAUUCAGGAUCUGACCGAGUAGCUGACUCUUAAUCCAGUUUGUGUUGAUCACCAGGAGGAUCUGGACCUCAGUGUUAUCACAUCUAAAGCUAUAAUCACAUCCCUGUUAAGCCUUCCUGAGAUCACACCAAAUGUCCUUGAUGGGAAUUGUAAACAACCCUUACUUCUGGUUUCUAAUGAUAUUCCAGGAAAGGAGCCUAACUAGAGUCAGUGAUAUGCCAACUCCACCUUUGCCUUCCACCAUGUUUGGAAGCUCCCUGAGGCCUCACCAGGAGCAGAUGCUCGUCCCAUGCUUCCUAUAAGCCUGCAGAACUGGAAAAGAAAGCUGGAUAAAGUAUUUAUAGAAGAUAGAGGACCUGUGGUGGCUCAUGCCUGUAAUCCAAGGUGGAAGGAUUGCUUGAGGCCAGAAGUUCAAGACCAGUCCAAGCAACAUAGCAAGGCCCCAUCUCUACAAAAAAAUGAAAAUAAAAUUAGCCGAGCGUGAUGGCUCAUGCCUGUAGUUCUAGCUUCCAGAGAGGCUGAGGCAGGAGGAUUGCUUGAGUCCAGGAGUUCAAGAUUACAAUGAGCUAUGGUCACACCACUGCACUCCAGCCUGGGUGAUGGAGUGAGACUGUCUCAAUAAAAAGACAAAAAGGCUGGCCAGGGGCAGUGGCUCAUGCCUAUAAACCCAGCACUUUGGGAGGCAAAGGCAGGAGGAUUGCUUAAGCCCAGGAAUUUGAGAUCAGCCUGGACAACAUGGUCAAGGAAGCUUUUCCUGAUCCACUAAGGACAAUCAAACCCUUCAUGAUCUAGAAUCUGGAGACUGUGUCUUCUGGGAAUAGUAUCAGAGAAAGACUGCCCUUACUGCCCACAUGUAGCAAAACUUUGAGACGUUGAAUUAUGGGUCCAUAAUCUCACAACUCAGAGGGGCACCUCUAGACUCUUGGAACUGCAUAUCUAUUGGAGACUUUAAGGUAAAGCUGAACAGAGACGUUUUUCUCCAGAAGCAGACAGCACCAUAGUCAUGGACAGCUUUCCCAAGAUCACAGAUCAAGACUUCUGUGCCGUCAUGAGACUCAUACCUCUUAAUUUUUUCUUGCUUAUGCUUCUGUGAACAAUAGAAUUGGAAAAGGGGUGGUCCCGCGUGCACCCAUAGGGUAUACUUUUAUUUGUGGAGGAUUUUGCUGCCAACCUUAUACAUGGGCAAACUUAUGGCUUCAUGGAUGGAAGAUAAAGGGCUAAUAUGGGUUAGAAAUUUUAAUGGUACCUUUGUUUCUCCAUAAUCAUUCAGAAACAGAACACUGGUCCACUCUUGUUAACCUACAUCAUAGGUUGAAGAGAACAUUGCCAGGAGGUCUUCAUCCUUCCAGAUGGGCACCAUUUGUUGGGUCUUUUUCCAUGGUAUGAAGAAAAUGAAGCAAUGAUUAGAAAUUGGUCCCUCGGCCGGGCACAAUGGCUCAUGCCUGUAAUCCCAUCACUUUGGCAGGCCGACGCGGGUGGAUCACCUGAGGUCAGGAGUUUGAGACCAGCCUGACCAAUGUGGUGAAACCCCAUCUCUACUAAAAAUACAAAAAUUAGCUGGGUGUGAUGGUGCACACCUGUAAUCCAGCUACUCGGGAGGCUGAGACAGGAGAAUUGCUUGAACCUGGGAGGCAGAGGUUGCAGUGAGCCAAGAUCACCCCACUGCAUUCCAGGUUGGGCAACAGAGCAAGACUCUGUCUCAAAAAAAAAAGAAGAAAGAAAGAAAUUGAUCCCUCAUAAUAGGCUGUAUAGCAGAUUCUACUGCAAAGGCUAUGGUUGCACAACAGCCUUCUUUGAAUUUGCUUGCUAAACUUUUACUGGAUAAUAGAAUUGCCUCCAAAAGUGCUGGGAUUACAGGUGUGAGCCACUGUGCCCAGCCUCUCCUGUUUAAUUGUAUUCAUUCUAAUGUUUACUUACUUCUUUAAUUUGUAAAAUUGGGUCACUUAGAGUUUUUUAGCCUAUCUUACCAUUUAGCCACUAUUACUGAUAAUUUGGAUGGAAAAGAAAAAUAAAUUAUAUCACCUCUC